rnacentral:rRNA from 1 species
UACGAAGGGGGCUAGCGUUGCUCGGAAUCACUGGGCGUAAAGGGUGCGUAGGCGGAUUUGUAAGUCAGGGGUGAAAUCCUGGAGCUCAACUCCAGAACUGCCUUUGAUACUGGAGAGCUUGAGUCCGGGAGAGGUGAGUGGAACUCCGAGUGUAGAGGUGAAAUUCGUAGAUAUUCGGAAGAACACCAGUGGCGAAGGCGGCUCACUGGCCCGGUACUGACGCUGAGGUGCGAAAGCGUGGGGAGCAAACAGG